rnacentral:sRNA from 1 species
UGGCGACGCCUUUCAGGCAUCCUCUCCUAAAAACUAUCCGGGCCGGCUCACGCUGGCCUUUUUUUGUCUGCCGA